UGUGGGAGCGGGCUUGCUCGCGAAAGCGUUCGUUCAGCCUGCAAAUGUAGUGGCUGACACACUGCAUUCGCGAGCAAGCCCGCUCCCACA
rnacentral:misc_RNA from 1 species